UAUAAGGCGCAUCGUAUUUUGAUUCUCAAAGUUUAAUUUAUUACAGGUUCUUGUUGAAACUUUAUGAAUUAUAGUAGUCAAGUCCUACAAUCCAAUCUAGUUGUCUAAAUAUUAACAAAUUGUUAAUAUAGAAGUAACGUGAAAGUAUUAUGAUUCAUGAUCACUUUUUUAUCGAUAUUUAUCGAUAUUUAGUCAAAUAAAAUUUGCGCCGGAAAUUACAACAAAUUAAAAUUCGAGGACCAGAAGUGUAAUUUACUCAAAUAAAAGUUAAAAUGGAUUC
rnacentral:lncRNA from 1 species